GGAGGAUGUAAGAGACCAUCGAGGGCUACCACGCAGCACCAUGUGGUGGGAGCACUGUGCGAGUGUGAUAAAUGCUCUGAGAGAACAGCCGUGAAGCGAUCGGGAGCGGUCCACGCAGUUGGAGUUUUGCAGGUGUACUGGGAGCAGGAGGGGGAAUUAUGGGGUGAUAUGGGUAGGACUUCCCGGAGAACUGGAGAAGAUGAAUGUGGGUUUACCCGGAAGACUACAUGUGUCAGACCUGGAAAGCUUAAAAUAGAAGAACAAGGAAGCAGGAGGACAAAAAAAGCAAAAGUGAAACCAGUUUUUCACUUCUGGCUUGGAGGAUAAAUAAGGCUCUGUCAGCACAGAGGGAGCUGAAAGUCUAGGCUGGAGAUUUCAGCCUGCAAACUCCCAGACUCCAGGAAGGAACCUUCUCUGCUUUCUCUCUAGUCUCUUUGGAGCACCUUGAGGACAGGAGCUUGGCUUCAAGAAGACAGCAGAAGCACCAGGAGACGGGAAGAUACCUCUGAGAGUUAACCUACAGGAUCGGCAUUCCUGACUGCAGCUGUG
rnacentral:lncRNA from 1 species